GCCGUAGCAAAAUCUACGGUCGGGAUUGGAACCCCGUAGACACAAUGGCGCAUACCGCGUUAGCGGUUUUUUU
rnacentral:sRNA from 1 species